UACGGAGGGGGCUAGCGUUGUUCGGAAUUACUGGGCGUAAAGCGCACGUAGGCGGCUUUUGUAAGUUAGAGGUGAAAGCCCGGAGCUCAACUCCGGAAUUGCCUUUAAGACUGCAUCGCUCGAAUCAUGGAGAGGUGAGUGGAAUUCCGAGUGUAGAGGUGAAAAUUCGUAGAUAUUCGGAAGAACACCAGUGGCGAAGGCGACUCACUGGACAUGUAUUGACGCUGAGGUGCGAAAGCGUGGGGAGCAAACAGG
rnacentral:rRNA from 1 species